GACGUAGGGUGCAAGCGUUGUCCGGAUUUAUUGGGCGCAAAGAGCUCGUAGGCGGCUCGUCGCGUCGACUGUGAAAACUCGGGGCUUAACCUCGGGCUUGCAGUCGAUACGGGCGGGCUGGAGUUCGGUAGGGGAGACUGGAAUUCCUGGUGUAGCGGUGAAAUGCGUAGAUAUCUGGAGGAACACCGGUGGCGAAGGCGGCAUCCUGGACCAUGACUGACGCUGAGGAGCGAAAGCCAGGGGAGCAAACGGG
rnacentral:rRNA from 1 species